CCCAGACAGACGACAGGUCACCUGGACGCGAGCCUGUGUCCGGGUCUCGUCGUUGCCGGCGCAGUCACUGGGCACAACCGUGGGACUCCGUCUGUCUCGGAUUAAUCCCGGAGAGCCAGAGCCAACCUCUCCCGGUCAGAGAUGCGACCCUCAGGGACCGCGAGAACCACACUGCUGGUGUUGCUGACCGCGCUCUGCGCCGCAGGUGGGGCGUUGGAGGAAAAGAAAGGUAAGGGCGUGUCCCACCGGCCCGCGCCCCCUGCGAGCUAGCUCGCCCAGUCCCAACCUCCGCUCGGGACUCUAAGUCCCCAGCCGCCCGCUCCUCCUCUUCUGGCUCCCAAAGGCGGCCGGGACCAUAGGAGGAACUGGACGGAGUCUGGAAUGGGCGAGACUGGGGCCGCCGAAGGAAGGGAGACUGGGCUAGGAGCAGAGGGGCUGCCAGGGCAGCGUGGGAGCCGCGGCUGUGCGCUCCGGGGCUCUUGACUGCUGCCAACUUAGUUGCCUCACUUUCCUGCGCUCAGUAGGCGUUCGGAGCAGAAACGUGGUGCGGGACAGCGCGGGACGCCGGGCAUUGGCGCACGUGCGCCCAGUACUGUCAGGGAGAGCGGAGGGACCCCGGAUCCUCAAGCGGGUCGGGUGUGUCCCACCCGCUCAGUGUGAGAGUUGAGGGACUGGAGUGCGAACCAACGCGCCCCUGGUCAAGGUCGGAACCUCUGAGACGCGCGGUUUCCUGAGCGCGGUUUCCCUCAACUCCUCUCUUCUCCAGCAGGGUACUCUCAGGACCUGGUAGCCUGAGUCCCAAUGUAGCUUGCAGAUUUCUGGCUUGCCCUUUCGCGGGUGUGUAGUUGCAGCAAUGACCUGGAAGUGUGGAGAUCUCUCUGUCACUAACCACCUAGGACUUCUGGGAAGAGAUGGUGUUAGUGGUCAUUUGCUUCUUCACUAGGAAAAAAAAAAGGAGGGCGUGGGGGUGGCGGGUGGGGUGGGUCGAUUCCGCCUCUUAGGCAUAGAGCAUGCCAGAGACUUGCCAGGCUAGGUGCACUGGUUGGGGACCAAGGCUCCAUGCCAGAUUGGAGCUAGCGUUGCGGGGUGGCUACUUCCCCUGGGAUCCCUGAAUUUGCCCUUUCCCAGAAGCUUGGGCUGCUGCAGCAUCACUUGCCUUUGCAAUGGAUGGCUGACCUCCUUGUGACAGCUGGGCCCUUGGGUGUAGUGCACCCUUGGUGUUUCAAAAUGAGGCCGGUAGCAAACUUUCUUACUUGUUAGCUGAGACGUUCCCUCUUGGGUUUCUUUUUCUUUUCUUUCCUUCCACACCCCUCCCCCCCCCCAAGUGAUUGAUAUUUGGCCAACUAAAAUAUAACCCCUAAUUAAAAAGAAACAUUGAUGUCCAUGGAUCACACAUGCCAACUGUCCAGACGGAACAUGAACAAGUCUGGCUUCAUGACUAUCCGACCAUAAACCCACUUGACACGAGAAACAUGCCUCGGAAGGUUUAAUUGCACAAUUUCAAAAUCCAGCCGCUCGGGUUCCAGGAGUCAGGUCUGCACUUGCUGUUGAUGUCAUCCGCAUCCAAGUUGGACUUGGGGGUUGGUGCUCCGUGCACUUUUGUUGGAGGGGGUGUAAGGCUCAGUUUCCCAAACUUAACUACACAAUGAAAUCAUUUGGGUUUAAAAAUCAACAAGCAAAACAAACUACACCCCUCCUCCGUUGUUUAGCUACCACUCCAUACACUCAGAUUUCACGGGUCGAUCUUGAGAAUUAGAAUUUUCAAAACUCUUGUAGCAUUUGAUUUGAGACUCGCUAGCAUAAAUGAAAAAUUGAUAACAUCUAAAGGAAGACUACCACGACGGUUCUAACGAGCAGGAGUCUGGGAAAUCUUGCAGUACAGGAAAUAGCAGGGAUAAAGUCGGUAAAGAGGGCUUGCUUUUUUCACAGAUGGGAUGGAGCACUGUGGAGCUUUUCUCCUACCUUCCUUAGCUGAAGGGCUCCAGGCCCCAUCGGUCAGUUGCCUGGCAUCUGUGCCUACCCAUAGGACUCCCUCCCCUAGUUUUCAGUUUCCCUUAGAGCCCCUGUAGAACACCAGUUGUCUCAGCUUAACUCUGUGUUUCUUCGCUGUUAGGUGUUACUGUUAUGAACACUGUUAGUGGUUGGAGAUUUGUUUUCGGUUAAAUAAAAAUGCCACUUCAUCUGUCUGUUUGUAUGAUAUUCACUUAAAGCCAAAUGCUUCUGGGUGUAGCAGGAAAGGUAGCAAGCAAAUAUUUAUCUGUCAAAGUAACGUAAAAAGGCUAAGUUCUAAAGGACAGAUUAUUGAAAACGUGAGACACCCUUUCUGCAACAGGCUGAUAAAAGAUUUGUUUGUUUAAUUGGUCAGUUUUGUUCCAGACUGGCUCCCUUAGUUGAGGUAGGGUGUUUAUCCUUCCCUCCAAAUCUAUGGUACCAUAUGUAAAUGUCAUCAAAGCAGAAGACAGUUAGACUCUGUUUUCAGUGCAUUGUCAGUCCUCACAUUGCAUGUAGUGAGAGGUGAUUCUCAUCAUCUGUUUGGGGAACCUAUGCACAGAGAAGUGUAGUGAUUUUCCCCCAUAGCUGUUAAGAAGUGAUGCCAAAAUUGAUUCAAGUUCCUUCCACCUCCAAACUACACUACCUUAUUGUAGGAGGACCAGGCUAGGUUAGGUGUGUAAAUGACUCAGUUCUGAUGCUAGAAGGAUAAGGACCAGGAAACAGGCAUUUGAAAAAUCAGUCCCCAUCUGAAGCUUGCUUGUUUAGUGGCCUACUUUCCUGUUCAUGGAUGCUGUGGUCUCCUGGGUUGCCUUUGAUGGGGGCAAUGUUGUCACUAAAACAAAAUAUGGGCAAGGUAUUAGCUUGGACUUGCUGAGCAAGUUCCACCUGUACCAUGAUGGCAGGAGAAGGCGCUUCUUUGGAAAAGAUCCUGUGCAGAGCAAAUGAGGAGAGAAGGGACCCUCAGCCUGAAUAAGGCAGUGGAGUUUGGAGGUGGAACCAACUUGAAGGGGAUUCCAAAGGCUUCUCAAGACUGUCUGUCUGUCUGUCUGUCUGUCUGUCUGUCUGUCUCUCAGAAGACUGGGUCUUGGGAAGCCCAGUACUGGCUUUCUAUCCAAGAAGCUUAUGUUUUCAUUCCAGGUCUAGAUUAGAUGGAAAGUCCCACUGGAACUCCAGGCUUCUGAAGUCUCCUUUCUAGAUUCAGUAAAUGUUUAUUGCUUGUCUAAGAUGUGGCAGACAUUAUGAGUUUAAAGGGGGAUCUUAAUGAUUAUAUUAUUGCUUCCAAACAUAUGUAGUUCUUGAAACCACUAGUUAAACAUUGGUAAUCUGCUUUUCAAAUAUGUAAAACAGACUAGUACUCCGACUGACUUUCUUACGGUGCACAUUCCCAGUGGUAGGACAUGAUGUUAUCUGAAGUCAGGUGGUGACACCAAUAGACUCAACAGCUUCCGUUGGCUUUAUUUACUUAGCCUCAUAAGUCAUAACUUUUCU
rnacentral:lncRNA from 1 species